CAGCAGCCGCGGGAAUACGUAGGUGGCAAGCGUUGUCCGGAAUUAUUGGGCGUAAAGGGCUCGCAGGCGGUUUCUUAAGUCUGAUGUGAAAGCCCCCGGCUCAACCGGGGAGGGUCAUUGGAAACUGGGAAACUUGAGUGCAGAAGAGGAGAGUGGAAUUCCACGUGUAGCGGUGAAAUGCGUAGAGAUGUGGAGGAACACCAGUGGCGGAGGCGACUCUCUGGUCUGUAACUGACGCCGAGGAGCGAAAGCGUGGGGAGCGAACAGGAUUAGAUACCCGCGUAGUCCCUGUCUCUUAUAC
rnacentral:rRNA from 1 species